GAUCAUUACUGAGUGAGGGUCCCUCGGGGCCCAACCUCCCACCCGUGUAUACCGUACCUUGUUGCUUCGGCGGGCCCGCCGCGCAAGCGGCCGCCGGGGGGGCGUCAAACCCCCCUCCCUAGGCGAGCGCCCGCCGGAGACACCAACGUGAACACUGUCUGAAGUUUUGUUGUCUGAGUUCGAUUGUAUCGCAAUCAGUUAAAACUUUCAACAAUGGAUCUCUUGGUUCCGGCAUCGAUGAAGAACGCAGCGAAAUGCGAUAAUUAAUGUGAAUUGCAGAAUUCAGUGAAUCAUCGAGUCUUUGAACGCACAUUGCACCCCCUGGUAUUCCGGGGGGUAUGCCUGUCCGAGCGUCAUUGCUGCCCUCAAGCACGGCUUGUGUGUUGGGUCGUCGUCCCCCCCGGGGACGGGCCCGAAAGGCAGCGGCGGCACCGCGUCCGGUCCUCGAGCGUAUGGGGCUUUGUCACCCGCUCUUGUAGGCCCGGCCGGCGCUGGCCGACGCUGAAAAGCAACCAACUAUUUCUCCAGGUUGACCUCGGAUCAGGUAGGGAUACCCGCUGAACCUAAGCAUAUCAAUAAAGCGGAGGA
rnacentral:misc_RNA from 1 species